rnacentral:lncRNA from 1 species
AGAUGCUGAGAUCCAUUGUCCACCCUGGCUCCUGCUCUGAAUUGACAUCAGUUUGCAACUAGCAGUUUCAUAAAUCAAGAAAAAGAAGAAAGGUAAAUUAAUGACUGUGUUAACUAGAGGGGCUCUGAAUUUCUGCUUUACAUGUACUCAUUUUGAAUUUCACUUUUAUUAUAAUGAACUUGCAAACACAGCAUUGCAAUAGUAUAUGCACCUCCCAAAGAUGCUGGGAAAUAGCUGAUAUUUCAUCAUUUGAGGACAGUUUGUGCCUGCAAGUGGCAGAGGUGCAGGAGGAGACAAAUAAAAGGGAUGCCUACAUCCUAUUUCCAUGAAUUUCUGUCCUCUGAGCUGAAAGACAAUUUACAAGUUGGCUGAUAAGACCUUGAAGAAAGAAGAUAUUUUAAAACUUUAAUUGAAAAUCCCCAUUCCUUCUCAUUGAAGAAGCAAAAGAAGAAACUAUAAUGAUGGACACUCUGGUGCUAGUAUCAGUCAUUUUGAUCACAAGACGUGGACCAGCCCACCUUGGAGCUCACUGUGGUGGUGGCCUGGUCCUAAUGCAAGUCCUAAUGGAGCUCUUGGAACUGGCUGUAGCCUUUGCUGAGCAGGAGCAACUAUGUCUCUGGUUCUUAAGGAUUGAAAAGGUACGUUGAAGAUGGAGAACAACUGAUGUCAAGACACAUU